GACGAACGCUGGCGGCGUGCUUAACACAUGCAAGUCGAACGGAAAGGCCCCUUUGGGGGUACUCGAGCGGCGAACGGGUGAGUAACACGUGAGUAACCUGCCCUUGACUUCGGGAUAACUUCAGGAAACUGGGGCUAAUACCGGAUAGGAAUCCUUGCUGCAUGGUGGGGGUUGGAAAGCUUCGGCGGUUUUGGAUGGACUCGCGGCUUAUCAGCUUGUUGGUGGGGUAGUGGCUUACCAAGGCUUUGACGGGUAGCCGGCCUGAGAGGGCGACCGGCCACAUUGGGACUGAGAUACGGCCCAGACUCCUACGGGAGGCAGCAGUGGGGAAUAUUGCACAAUGGGCGGAAGCCUGAUGCAGCAACGCCGCGUGCGGGAUGACGGCCUUCGGGUUGUAAACCGCUUUCAGCAGGGGCGAAGCUUGUGGUGACGGUACCUGCAGAAGAAGCACCGGCUAACUACGUG
rnacentral:rRNA from 1 species